rnacentral:lncRNA from 1 species
CCACUAUUUGAGGACUUGUAUGUGAUUUUAAGGUUAUUUCUGCCCUUAUGACGCCUUUCUAUUUUCAUUGCUUUAUCAACCAUAUCCUCCAUGGUAUUGUAUUGGUACAUGUCAAGUUCUUCAGCAAUGUAGUGGUUAAGACCACCUAGAAACCUGGACAUCAACAUUUGCUCAUCCUCCUCAAUAUGAGCCCGAGCCAUCAUCAUCUCCAUCUCCUUAUGGUAUUGUUCCACACUCUUUCCUCCUUGCACCA